GAUGAACGCUGGCGGCGUGCCUAAUACAUGCAAGUCGAGCGAACAGACGAGGAGCUUGCUCCUUCGACGUUAGCGGCGGACGGGUGAGUAACACGUAGGUAACCUACCUAUAAGACUGGGAUAACUUCGGGAAACCGGAGCUAAUACCGGAUAAUAUUUCGAACCGCAUGGUUCGAUAGUGAAAGAUGGCUUUGCUAUCACUUAUAGAUGGACCUGCGCCGUAUUAGCUAGCUGGUAAGGUAACGGCUUACCAAGGCAACGAUACGUAGCCGACCUGAGAGGGUGAUCGGCCACACUGGAACUGAGACACGGUCCAGACUCCUACGGGAGGCAGCAGUAGGGAAUCUUCCGCAAUGGGCGAAAGCCUGACGGAGCAACGCCGCGUGAGUGAUGAAGGUCUUCGGAUCGUAAAACUCUGUUAUUAGGGAAGAACAAACGUGUAAGUAACUGUGCACGUCUUGACGGUACCUAAUCAGAAAGCCACGGCUAACUACGUG
rnacentral:rRNA from 1 species